GAGAGGACCUUUCCCUAGUACGAGAGGACCGGGAAGGACGCAUCUUUGGUGUGCCAGUUAUCGUGUCCACGGUAAAUGCUGGGUAGCUAAGUGCGGAGCGGAUAACUGCUGAAACCUCCAUAUCUUCUUCUGCCACCUCCAUACA
rnacentral:ncRNA from 1 species